rnacentral:rRNA from 1 species
AUUGAACGCUGGCGGCAGGCCUAACACAUGCAAGUCGAGCGGUAGCACAGAGAGCUUGCUCUCGGGUGACGAGCGGCGGACGGGUGAGUAAUGUCUGGGAAACUGCCUGAUGGAGGGGGAUAACUACUGGAAACGGUAGCUAAUACCGCAUAACGUCGCAAGACCAAAGUGGGGGACCUUCGGGCCUCAUGCCAUCAGAUGUGCCCAGAUGGGAUUAGCUAGUAGGUGGGGUAAUGGCUCACCUAGGCGACGAUCCCUAGCUGGUCUGAGAGGAUGACCUGCCACACUGGAACUGAGACACGGUCCAGACUCCUACGGGAGGCAGCAGUGGGGAAUAUUGCACAAUGGGCGCAAGCCUGAUGCAGUCAUGCCGCGUGUGUGAAGAAGGCCUUCGGGUUGUAAAGCACUUUCAGCGGGGAGGAAGGCGGUGAGGUUAAUAACCUCAUCGAUUGACGUUACCCGCAGAAGAAGCACCGGCUAACUCCGUGCCAGCAGCCGCGGUAAUACGGAGGGUGCAAGCGUUAAUCGGAAUUACUGGGCGUAAAGCGCACGCAGGCGGUCUGUCAAGUCGGAUGUGAAAUCCCCGGGCUCAACCUGGGAACUGCAUUCGAAACUGGCAGGCUAGAGUCUUGUAGAGGGGGGUAGAAUUCCAGGUGUAGCGGUGAAAUGCGUAGAGAUCUGGAGGAAUACCGGUGGCGAAGGCGGCCCCCUGGACAAAGACUGACGCUCAGGUGCGAAAGCGUGGGGAGCAAACAGGAUUAGAUACCCUGGUAGUCCACGCCGUAAACGAUGUCGAUUUGGAGGUUGUGCCCUUGAGGCGUGGCUUCCGGAGCUAACGCGUUAAAUCGACCGCCUGGGGAGUACGGCCGCAAGGUUAAAACUCAAAUGAAUUGACGGGGGCCCGCACAAGCGGUGGAGCAUGUGGUUUAAUUCGAUGCAACGCGAAGAACCUUACCUGGCCUUGACAUCCACAGAACUUUCCAGAGAUGGAUUGGUGCCUUCGGGAACUGUGAGACAGGUGCUGCAUGGCUGUCGUCAGCUCGUGUUGUGAAAUGUUGGGUUAAGUCCCGCAACGAGCGCAACCCUUAUCCUUUGUUGCCAGCGGUCCGGCCGGGAACUCAAAGGAGACUGCCAGUGAUAAACUGGAGGAAGGUGGGGAUGACGUCAAGUCAUCAUGGCCCUUACGACCAGGGCUACACACGUGCUACAAUGGCAUAUACAAAGAGAAGCGACCUCGCGAGAGCAAGCGGACCUCAUAAAGUAUGUCGUAGUCCGGAUUGGAGUCUGCAACUCGACUCCAUGAAGUCGGAAUCGCUAGUAAUCGUAGAUCAGAAUGCUACGGUGAAUACGUUCCCGGGCCU